rnacentral:lncRNA from 1 species
UACCGUAAACUGAGAAGGUAUUACACUGACUUUCUUGUUCUGUCCCCACCUAAUAACCUAUGGGGAAAAGCAGCCUGGUAUUGGAGGUUCUCUAUAUUUCAAUCAGCCCACCCCAGUCCACAUGUCCAUAUGUUCAUCUGCUUGUUUUUAUUCCUGAGUAGUGUCUUUUUGCCUGUUAUUUUCAGAUUUUGGAAGCAAUUUCCCCAGCUGUGGAAAUCAGAUGAUCUCACCUCUCCUAACAAGGACUCUCCCUUUCUGGAAUCUUAGUUCUUGUAGUCCUCUCUAGUUCCACAACUCUCUAAGUUUAAAACAAUACACUUUUAAAGUGAAUAUUUUCUAUUUCCUGUCUUGGCUCUACUUACACACAUUACCUGGAAGCAGAAAUCCCAAUAUUUUGCUUGAACAAAUUUCCAGCUUAUUUCUCCUCAGUCCAGAAAGGCUAUCUAUUUUUUCUGGGACUAUCCUCCCAUGGUGUUAAUUUUCAAAUGCUUCAGGAGAAAAACCAGUAUGGACGUGGUACUCACAUUGUUGGGCUUCCUGUUUCUCACAGAUUGUAUCUCAAGUUCUGUCAGAACAGGCUGCACUCCAGUGCCUUUAAACAGUUAGGUAUUUUAUUAAGAUUUUAUUGUUGAUAUUGGUUGGUCAGUCCAAUGAAAGCUACUCAGUCAUGGAAGAAAUGAAAAUAUUUUACCCUGAGAUAUUUUAAACCAAAGAAUGAUUCAUCUCUUAUUUUAACAUAUAAAAUAUUUAAACCAGAACUUUGAAAAUACUACUGACUAUUCAUAUAGGAAAAAUUCUCCACAAUUGACAGCUUGUAAUUACGUUAAAACCUUGAUGCAUCCUCAUGGGAAACUGGUUUAAUGAUCUCCACUUUCCUAAUUUAAUUUUUGGGUUUGCAUUUGUUAAGAGGAUGUUGUAACUGUGGGAUCAGUGUGUGUGAUCUUUGUGUUUCACUGUGUGUGCAAGGUCAGAAGUGUUGUCUACCAGGCACCUGUUCAACAGUCAUCACCCCUGGAGCACCAGUGAGUCCAGCAAAGGCUCACAGGGCACUCUGGGGAGCCCAGGAAAAGUAAAACCAGCAGUGUAGUCAAGCUUGUGGGAUUUGCUGGGUCUAUGGAGACUGGAGGGGCCAGAUCCUGACCAGUGGGAAACUAGAAUCCAGGGUCUGAAUGGAUCAGAGAUGGGGAACCAGUGGGCAUCAGUGAUUGUGGCUCUGAGUGGGAGAGUGGGAACUGAGUUAUAGAGAUCUGUGGUGGAAGUCCUAUACAUUUGGGGAUUGAGGAUCCUAGGUUCUCCACCAGGCAAAAGGACCAAAACCACUUUGAGGCAACAAUCCCAAGGCAAAGAUAUGGGGUGAUGUGUUGUUGAUGGAGGAAGGAGGGGCAGAUGCAGAAACACCUUGGGGUAAGGCAGAGGAGGCACAGGCUGGUCCCCACUGGCCUUGCCUUUCUCAAGGCCCCACUCCUACCAGGCCAUAUCCCACCUGACUGAAGCCCUGCUCUGCCCCUGCCCCAUCUUGGGCAACGCCCCUCCCUGACCAUUACCCCUCUUGGGCCAAGACCCACCUGCCUCUUAGUUUCGGAAGUGGAUUUCAGAGCGAAGGUCCCACUCCAGUGAGUAAGCCCUGGUCUUUAAGGUUCAAACCCAUGCUCUGUGGCCCCCCCCUUGCCCCAUCCUCCACACCCACAGUCUAGGGGUCGGUCCCUGCAGAUGCCACAGUCCACGCACCAGCCUGUCCUGCUGGCAGAGAGGCCAGCGUCGUUUCAAACACUCAGGAUGCCAGUUGUUCCACUGCCAAGUCCGAGUUAUUUCUGUUUCCAGUUAAAAUUAAUGGGAGGCAGUCCCAGCCUUGCCGUUCUGCCUUUGGGCUUUUCAAUGUCUCCUGUCCCCACAAGUUAGGUUCCCAUUCAGGAAGCAGAUUAUCGCCCUUUACCACCAUCACCCUUGUUGACCCCUAAGAGCAGCCCCCACAUGCCACACUAUCUCCUGGUCGUAGGAUUCUGCAGACCACAGUCUUCCCAACCCUUCUGUGUUCUCCUACUCCUGGGGGCCAGGCCCUGCUGCUCUGCAGUCUUUCCUUCACAGUCCGCCUCAGGGAGGCCCCUGAGCACUGGGCUAGGGGAGGUUUCCUGCCUCUGUCCUCCUGACAUACCAUGUCCUUCUCGUCCAAAUUUCAUCUCCCUCAAUGUCCCUAACACGGUAUGUUUACAUUCCUGGUGUCUCACUGGAAAGUGAGCUCUUCCUAGGAAACAGGCAACUUCCCUCCAUUGGUGUGGAUGUCUAGGUAGGGUGUGGGGAGAUGAGGGGGAAAGAGAAUCACAGGGAGAAUCAGGGACACAGAAUGAGUCAAACAGUGAGGGAGAAUAAGUCAAAUAGAGGAUGGGGAGUUAUGUGAUGUUUUGAUAUAGUAAGCACUGAGCCCACGAGUCCAACUGUUUAUGAUGAAUAAAUUGCUCAGAGCCAUUUCUAUAGCAGACCUUCUUUCCUGUUUUCCAGUGCCAGUAUUUGGGUCUUCUUAAUUUCAUAUGUUUUGAUGUUUAAUGUGAUCUUCUGGAUAAGAGGAAUUAAAUGCUAGAGAUCAAUGUGAGUAAAACCAGGAAUGAGAAAUUCCUCUUGCUCAGGUCUAUGAAACAUGGUCUGGAUUCUUUAGGGGCAGGAGUAGGAAAGGCAAACCAUCCUGGCCAUGUCAUUCCUGUGGGGCUGGAGCUGGUUACUUUCUACUAGCCCAUUCUCACCUCCUUGUCUGCCCCAUUCCUAAAUAGGGACUUUUCAGCUCUAUUAUAACCUUAUGGGACCACUGUUGUAUAUGCAGUCUGUCAUUGACCAAAAUGUCAUUACGCAGUGCAUGACUGUACCCAAAUAUAUGCUGCCUACAAAAAAUUCACUUCAGUUUUAAGGACACAUGGAUGCAAACUGAAGGGAUGGAAAAAUAUAUUCCAUGUAAAUGGAAAUCAUAAGAGAGCAGAGGUAGCUGUACUUAUAUAAGACAAAAUAGACUUAAAAGCUGUAACAAGAGACAAGAUCAUUAUAUAAUGAUAAAGGGUUGCGUCUAUCAAGAGAAUAUAACAUUUGUAAAUAUAUUAAACAAUACCAAACCUGUAGUAAAAUGAGCAUUAUAUUUUUAUAAUGAUGGAAUGGGGAUGGCUACCAAAAUAAAACAAAAAAGUAGACAGCAUAAAAGAAAUGUUUAU